rfam:Schistosoma curassoni strain Dakar, Senegal genome assembly, scaffold: SCTD_scaffold0001745
AUCAACUCUGACGAGUCUCAAAUAAGACGAAAUGCACGUCUUGGAU